CGGACGGGUGAGUAAUGUCUGGGAAACUGCCUGAUGGAGGGGGAUAACUACUGGAAACGGUAGCUAAUACCGCAUAACGUCGCAAGACCAAAGGGGGGGACCUUCGGGCCUCUUGCCAUCGGAUGUGCCCAGAUGGGAUUAGCUAGUAGGUGGGGUAACGGCUCACCUAGGCGACGAUCCCUAGCUGGUCUGAGAGGAUGACCAGCCACACUGGAACUGAGACACGGUCCAG
rnacentral:rRNA from 1 species